rnacentral:misc_RNA from 1 species
GAUGAAGAACGCAGCGAAAUGCGAUAAGUAGUGUGAAUUGCAGAAUUCAGUGAAUCAUCGAAUCUUUGAACGCACAUUGCGCCCUUGGUAUUCCAAAGGGCAUGCCUGUUCGAGCGUCAUUUGUACCCUCAAGCUUUGCUUGGUGUUGGGCGUCUUGUCUCUAGCUUUGCUGGAGACUCGCCUUAAAGUAAUUGGCAGCCGGCCUACUGGUUUCGGAGCGCAGCACAAGUCGCACUCUCUAUCAGCAAAGGUCUAGCAUCCAUUAAGCCUUUUUUUUCAACUUUUGACCUCGGAUCAGGUAGGGAUACCCGCUGAACUUAAGCAUAUCAAUAAGCGGAGGA